rnacentral:sRNA from 1 species
UGCAAAUAAACCUGAUACCUUUUAUGGAUAUGUGAAUACCUAUAAACUGGUUUAUAUGAAUCUCAAACAUAUAAGCAGGUA